rnacentral:rRNA from 1 species
GACGAACGCUGGCGGCGUGCCUAAUACAUGCAAGUCGAACGAGAGCGACCGGUGCUUGCACUGGUCAAUCUAGUGGCGAACGGGUGAGUAACACGUGGGUAACCUGCCCAUCAGAGGGGGAUAACAUCCGGAAACGGAUGCUAAAACCGCAUAGGUCUUCGAACCGCAUGGUUUGAAGAGGAAAAGAGGCGCAAGCUUCUGCUGAUGGAUGGACCCGCGGUGCAUUAGCUAGUUGGUGAGGUAACGACUCACCAAGGCCGUGAUGCAUAGCCGACCUGAGAGGGUGAUCGGCCACAUUGGGACUGAGACACGGCCCAAACUCCUACGGGAGGCAGCAGUAGGGAAUCUUCCGCAAUGGACGCAAGUCUGACGGAGCAACGCCGCGUGAGUGAAGAAGGUUUUCGGAUCGUAAAACUCUGUUGCUAGAGAAGAACAAGUGCUAGAGUAACUGUUAGCGCCUUGACGGUAUCUAACCAGAAAGCCACGGCUAACUACGUG